rnacentral:rRNA from 1 species
GUAGGGUCCAAGCGUUAAUCGGGAAUUACUGGGGCGUAAAGCGUGCGCAGGCGGUUGUGCAAGACCGAUGUGAAAUCCCCGGGGCUUAACCUGGGAAUUGCAUUGGUGACUGCACGGCUAGAGUGUGUCAGAGGGGGGUAGAAUUCCACGUGUAGCAGUGAAAUGCGUAGAGAUGUGGAGGAAUACCGAUGGCGAAGGCAGCCCCCUGGGAUAACACUGACGCUCAUGCACGAAAGCGUGGGGAGCAAACAGGAUUAGAUACCCUGGUAGUCCACGCCCUAAACGAUGUCAACUAGUUGUUGGGGAUUCAUUUCCUUAGUAACGUAGCUAACGCGUGAAGUUGACCGCCUGGGGAGUACGGUCGCAAGAUUA